rnacentral:misc_RNA from 1 species
AACCUUAUGGACCUGCGGGCGUAUACCUGCGGAAGGAUCAUUAAAAAACUUUGCCCGCGGACCCUGGGUCCAAGGCGCAAAACCCACACUAUGUGCACUGUUAUCGUUCUUUUGGCAGGGGCUUGGGGUAUCUUCCAACUUGGGGAACCUCAACUUCUCGUCUAGCUCUAUCCACCUCGGACAGCUGGACAUGAGAAGCAGUUACUCUGCCAAGUGACCCUUAAAAACACGCUUUUUGUC